CCUUUCCUGGCUGCCUACACAGAAAGCAGCCAUGGGAGACUUGCCGAGGACUUUGUCCACCAAGUGAUGAAAGCAUGCAAAUGCCUCCGAAUCAAAGGCCUGAGCCACGUAUGAAGUGUGAAUCUUCACACCAUGCAAGAGAAGCCACAUGUUAUUGCUCUGGUCAACAAUCCCAGCUGACCCAACCAGAUAGUGUAUCAGGCAUAUGAGUAAAGCAUUCUUAGAUUCUUCAGUCCAGCCCUUCACCAGCAGAACACCAUUCAGCAACCCUUGUCGGCAUCAUGUGGGACAGAAGAACCACCCAGCUGAGCCUUAUCCAAAUUCCUGACCACAAAAUCAUAAGCCCUGAGAGAGCAAGACCAGCCCCUUCUUUUCUUCCACCUCCUCAUCUACUCAACAUGUAUCUUCAUUCUCAAGACGAUGAGGAUGAAGACCUUUAUGAUGCUCCACUCCCAGUUAAUAAAUAGCACACUAAGACAUUCUGUGGAGGAAGGAAAGCCAUUGCUAUUCUUGUGCUGAUGAAAAGUGGCUUCUACUCACCUUUUAGCCCCAGAUCUGGAGGACUAU
rnacentral:lncRNA from 10 species